AUUCCCAACAAUAAUAUGUCAAGUAAUAUUAAUGUAAAUAAUGUUAGUAAUGGUAGUACUGAUUUUAGUAAUAUGCCUGUUAGUAAUAAUAUACCAGAUAAUAAUAAUACACCCACUAGUAGUAGUAGUAGUAGUAUUAGUGGUAUACCCGAUGCAAAUAAUAAAAUGAAUGAAUAUACAACAAACAAUAAUAAUCCAUAUGUACAAAAUAUAACAUCUAUUGCUACACCUACAACAUUAGAGCAAAAUACAAAAGUAAACUUUUUCAAUUUAAUGAAUAAUAAUAGUAUGUUUAAUACAAAAGAAAUUAUGUGUAAUUCUAUCAACUGUAAUGUAUUAUCUACUGAUAAGGAUGUGAAUGAACCUUUAAUAGGUAAAACAAACAAAUGUGUUUUGCAUAUAUAUAUAUAUAUAUAUGUGUGUGUGUCAAAAUAAACUUCUUUUAAAUGAAUAUAUUUUUGUACAAUUCGUUUUAUAGAUUGUGUAAACGCGACUUAUUGUGAAGGCUGCUUGAUUCAAAAAAAUCCAAGAGAUCAGUGUUUAAACAUAAAAGUUUUAAAUACACAAAAUGUUGAUAUUUCAAUAGGAUUUGUUGACCCUAUCAAUGUUAAAAAAAAAAAAAAAUAAUAAUAAUAAUAAUAAUAAUAAUAAUAAUAAUAAUAAUAAUAAUAGAACGACCGAACAAACGAACAUAACAUGCAAAUUGAAAUGAACUUAUUUUAUCUUUUUGUUUAUCCCAAAAAUUCUCAAACAUGUGUUUAAUUAACAAAAAUAACCUACGGGAUAUACCAUUCGUAUGGGAUAAACCUGAGUUUGACUUUUCUCAGUGUUUACCUGAUAUAAAUAAAUUUAAAUCAGCAUCCACAGAACUUUUAAAUAAAGGUAUGGACAAAGUUGAAACUAGUAAGCACAUCUUCAGAUUAAUUAAUUUAUACAUAUAUGUAACAAAACUUGUAGAAGAUAAUAAUGUUGAUCCUUUAAACAUAUCCAUAUCAUUCGAAAACAUAAAUACGAAUUUAAUAAAAGCAAAUGAAGAAUUAUUAAAUGGAAAAAAUGCUUCUUUAAUAUGUCCACUGAAUGUAAAUAAUUUAAAAAUGUUUAAUUUACGAGCAACACAAUCCUUGGUCUUAUAUAAGCGUUUGUACAUUCCGCAAAGUAAUAAAGUAACAAGUAGCCAAAACUUAAAAAUCGAAAUAACAAAUGAAAAAGGUUACAAUGUAACGAAUUACUUUUUUAUGCAAAAAUAA
rnacentral:lncRNA from 1 species